rnacentral:rRNA from 1 species
AGCGAACGCUGGCGGCGUACUUAACACAUGCAAGUCGAACGAGGAUCAUCGGGUUAGCAAUAAUUCGGUGGUCCUAGUGGCGCACGGGUGAGUAACACGUGGGUGACCUGCCCUUGAGCUCGGGAUACCCCCUCGAAAGGGGGGCUAAUACCGGAUACGUUCCUCGGUCGAAAGACUGAGGAGGAAAGGUGGCGCAAGCUGCCGCUCUUGGAGGGGCUCGCGGCCUAUCAGCUAGUUGGCGGGGAACGCCACCAAGGCUAUGACGGGUAGCUGGUCUGAGAGGACGACCAGCC